UGGGGAAUAUUGCACAAUGGGGGAAACCCUGAUGCAGCGACGCCGCGUGAACGAAGAAGGUAUUCGUAUCAUAAAGUUCUGUCCUAUGGGAAGAUAAUGACAGUACCAUAGAAGAAAGCUCCGGCUAAAUACGUGCCAGCAGCCGCGGUAAUACGUAUGGAGCGAGCGUUGUCCGGAAUUAUUGGGCGUAAAGGGUACGCAGGCGGUUUAAUAAGUCGAAUGUUAAAGAUCGGGGCUCAACCCCGCAAAGCAUUGGAAACUGAUAAACUUGAGUAGUGGAGAGGAAAGUGGAAUUCCUAGUGUAGUGGUGAAAUACGUAGAUAUUAGGAGGAAUACCAGUAGCGAAGGCGACUUUCUGGACACAAACUGACGCUGAGGUACGAAAGCGUGGGGAGCAAACAGG
rnacentral:rRNA from 1 species